AAUCAACGCUGGCGGCGUGCCUAACACAUGCAAGUCGAACGAGAAAGUGGAGCAAUCCAUGAGUAAAGUGGCGCACGGGUGAGUAACACGUGACUAACCUACCCUGGAGUGGGGGAUAACUGAGGGAAACCUUAGCUAAUACCGCAUAAUACCUACGGGUCAAAGGAGCAAUUCGCUUUGGGAGGGGGUCGCGGCCGAUUAGUUAGUUGGCGGGGUAAUGGCCCACCAAGACAGUGAUCGGUAUCCGGCCUGAGAGGGCGCACGGACACACUGGAACUGAGACACGGUCCAGACUCCUACGGGAGGCAGCAGUGGGGAAUUUUGCGCAAUGGGGGAAACCCUGACGCAGCAACGCCGCGUGGAGGAUGAAGUACUUCGGUACGUAAACUCCUUUCGAUCGGGACGAUAAUGACGGUACCGGAAGAAGAAGCCCCGGCUAACUUCGUGCCAGCAGCCGCGGUAAUACGAGGGGGGCAAGCGUUGUUCGGAAUUAUUGGGCGUAAAGGGUGCGUAGGCGGUUUGGUAAGUCUUGUGUGAAAUCUCCGGGCUCAACUCGAAGACUGCACGAGAAACUGCCG
rnacentral:rRNA from 1 species